UAUGUUAGCUUGCUAAAAUAUUUAGUAGCAAAUGGGUGAGUAACACGUACCUAACCUACCUUUUGGACCGGGAUAACCAUUGGAAACAGCGGCUAAUACCGGAUAUAAUAAAAAAAUGCAUGUUUUUUUAUCAAAAGAAGCCUUUAAAGCUUCACCAAAAAAUGGGGGUGCGCAACAUUAGUUAGUUGGUAGGGUAAAGGCCUACCAAGACGAUGAUGUUUAGCGGGGCCAAGAGGCUGUACCGCCACACUGGGAUUGAGAUACGGCCCAGACUCCUACGGGAGGCAGCAGUAAGGAAUAUUCCACAAUGAGCGAAAGCUUGAUGGAGCGACACAGAGUGCAGGAUGAAGUCUUUAGGGAUGUAAACUGCUGUUGUAAGGGAAGAAAAAACUAGAUAGGAAAUGAUUUAGUCUUGACGGUACCUUAUUAGAAAGUGACGGCAAACUAUGUGCCAGCAGCCGCGGUAAUACAUAGGUCGCAAGCGUUAUCCGGAAUUAUUGGGCGUAAAGCGUCCGCAGGUUUUUUGUUAAGUUUAAGGUUAAAUGCUAAAGCUCAACUUUAGUUCGCUUUAGAUACUGACAAAAUAGAAUUAUGAAGAGGUUAGCGGAAUUCCUAGUGGAGCGGUGGAAUGCGUAGAUAUUAGGAAGAACACCAAUAGGCGAAGGCAGCUAACUGGUCAUAUAUUGACACUAAUGGACGAAAGCGUGGGGAGCAAACAGGAUUAGAUACCCUGGUAGUCCACGCCGUAAACGAUGAUCAUUAGUUGGUGGCAAAAGUCACUAGCACAGCUAACGCGUUAAAUGAUCCGCCUGAGUAGUAUGCUCGCAAGAGUGAAACUUAAAGGAAUUGACGGGAACCCGCACAAGCGGUGGAGCAUGUGGUUUAAUUUGAAGAUACGCGUAGAACCUUACCCACUCUUGACAUCCUCGCAAAACUAUAGAGAUAUAGCGAG
rnacentral:rRNA from 1 species